rnacentral:ncRNA from 2 species
CUCUUAUAAAGAGCGGCGGAGGGACUGGCCCGAUGAAGCCCGGCAACCAUCAGAAAUGAAAGGUGCUAAUUCCAGCAAAGCAUGAUCGCUUUGGGAAAUGAGAG